rnacentral:rRNA from 1 species
UACGGGAGGCAGCAGUGGGGAAUAUUGCACAAUGGGCGAAAGCCUGAUGCAGCUAUGCCGCGUGUAUGAAGAAGGCCUUAGGGUUGUAAAGUACUUUCAUCGGGGAGGAAAAAACAAAACUAAUAAUUUUAUUUCUUGACGUUACCCGAAAAAGAAGCACCGGCUAACUCCGUGCCAGCAGCCGCGGUAAUACGGAGGGUGCUAGCGUUAAUCAGAAUUACUGGGCGUAAAGAGCACGUAGGUGGUUUUUUUAAGUCAGAUGUGAAAUCCCUGGGCUUAACCUGGAACUGCAUUUUGAAACUGAAAUACUAGAGUAUCGUAGAGGGAGGUAGAAUUCUAGGUGUAGCGGUGAAAUGCGUAGAUAUCUGGAGGAAUACCUGUGGCGAAAGCGGCCUCUAAACGAAUACUGACACUGAGGUGCGAAAGCGUGGGGAGCAAACAGGGAUUAGAUACCCGU